GAGAAAACCCGCAGCAUUGUUGAGAGAGGCAUCGGGCAGCUGAAGCGACAUUUUCACAUGCUACACAGUGAGAUUCGAGUUGGUCCUCCAUCCAAGGUCUGCCAAAUUGUAGAAGUUUGUGCACUGCUGCACAACAUCUGCAAAGCAAGAAACAUCAUUCUUCCUGAAGAAGAAGAACAUCUUGCCGCAGCCGAGGAUGGAGGCAACGAGGAGCGACCCCCAGCACAGGAAGUUCAAAGUCGCCAUGAAGGAAUCCUGUACAGGGAUGAAUUUGUUGUGCUUCACUUCAACAUUGAUGAAUGAUGAGACACCAGUGUCAUGACUGCUGAGAUUGGUGUUAUUCUCAUGUGGAUGACCUCCUCCUCAUCCACAUACACCAGUGAUGUACCAGGCAAGUCUGGCCCCUGUUGGUGCCACAUCACUGGCGCUGCAAGUGGUGUGGCAGGUGCCUCCUCCACACCCACUGCCUUGGU